rnacentral:rRNA from 1 species
AACGUAGGAGACAAACGUUAUCCGGAGUUACUGGGCGUAAAGGGCGCGUAGGCGGCCUACUAAGUCGGACGUGAAAUCCCUCGGCUCAACCGAGGAACUGCGUCCGAUACUGGUGGGCUUGAAUCCGGGAGAGGGAUGUGGAAUUCCAGGUGUAGCGGUGAAAUGCGUAGAUAUCUGGAGGAACACCGGUGGCGAAGGCGGCAUCCUGGACCGGUAUUGACGCUGAUGCGCGAAAGCCAGGGGAGCAAACGGG